rnacentral:rRNA from 1 species
AUUGAACGCUGGCGGCAUGCCUAACACAUGCAAGUCGAACGAGUGGCGGACGGGUGAGUAAUGUAUGGGAACUUGCCCGAUGGAGGGGGAUAACUACUGGAAACGGUAGCUAAUACCGCAUAGCAUCGGAUGGGCCCAGAUCGGCUUAGCUAGUAGGUGGGGUAACGGCUCACCGAGGCCACGAACCCUAUCUGGUCUGGGAGGAUGACCGGCAACACUGGAACUGAGACACGGCCCAGGAUCCUACGGGGGGCAGCAGUGGGGAAUAUUGGAAAAUGGGGGAAAGCUGGAUGCAGCAAUCCCGCGUGUAUGAAAAAGGCCUUCGGGUUGUAAAGUACUUUCGGCGAGGAGGCGUUACUCGCAGAAGAAGCGCCGGCUAACUCCGUGCCAGCAGCCGCGGUAAUUC